rnacentral:rRNA from 1 species
CCAGUGGCGAAAGCGGCUNUCUGGUCUGUCACUGACGCUGAGGCUCGAAAGCGUGGGUAGCGAACAGGAUUAGAUACCCUGGUAGUCCACGCCGUAAACGAUGAGUGCUAGGUGUUAGGCCCUUUCCGGGGCUUAGUGCCGGAGCUAACGCAAUAAGCACUCCGCCUGGGGAGUACGACCGCAAGGUUGAAACUCAAAGGAAUUGACGGGGGCCCGCACAAGCGGUGGAGCAUGUGGUUUAAUUCGAAGCAACGCGAAGAACCUUACCAGGUCUUGACAUCCCGAUGCUAUUCUUAGAGAUAGGAAGUUACUUCGGUACAUCGGAGACAGGUGGUGCAUGGUUGUCGUCAGCUCGUGUCGUGAGAUGUUGGGUUAAGUCCCGCAACGAGCGCAACCCUUAUUGUUAGUUGCCAUCAUUAAGUUGGGCACUCUAGCGAGACUGCCGGUAAUAAACCGGAGGAAGGUGGGGAUGACGUCAAAUCAUCAUGCCCCUUAUGACCUGGGCUACACACGUGCUACAAUGGUCGGUACAACGAGUUGCGAGCCGGUGACGGCAAGCUAAUCUCUGAAAGCCGAUCUCAGUUCGGAUUGGAGGCUGCAACUCGCCUCCAUGAAGUCGGAAUCGCUAGUAAUCGCGGAUCAGCACGCCGCGGUGAAUACGUUCCCGGGCCUUGUACACACCGCCCGUCACACCACGAGAGUUUGUAACACCCGAAGUCGGUGAGGUANCCUUUUAGGG